rnacentral:rRNA from 1 species
GGGCGGAAGCCUGAUCCAGCAACGCCGCGUGAGGGAUGACGGCCUUCGGGUUGUAAACCUCUUUCAGUACCGACGAAGCGCGAGUGACGGUAGGUACAGAAGAAGCACCGGCCAACUACGUGCCAGCAGCCGCGGUAAUACGUAGGGUGCGAGCGUUGUCCGGAAUUAUUGGGCGUAAAGGGCUCGUAGGCGGUUUGUCGCGUCGGGAGUGAAAACGCCGUGCUUAACACGGCGCUUGCUUUCGAUACGGGCAGACUAGAGGUAUGCAGGGGAGAACGGAAUUCCUGGUGUAGCGGUGAAAUGCGCAGAUAUCAGGAGGAACACCGGUGGCGAAGGCGGUUCUCUGGGCAUGACCUGACGCUGAGGAGCGAAAGUGUGGGGAGCGAACAGGAUUAGAUACCCUGGUAGUCCACACCGUAAACGUUGGGCGCUAGGUGUGGGGUCCAUUCCACGGAUUCCGUGCCGCAGCUAACGCAUUGAGCGCCCCGCCUGGGGAGUACGGCCGCAAGGCUA